ACCAGACGUGUCUCCCCACACUGCGCUCCGCUCUCUUCCUGCGCCUGAAGUGACCGGAGAGGCGCAAACUCUUGACCAAGCGAUGUCCGUCUUUUUUUGGCACUGGAUGGAAUGAAAUAAAGUACUUUUUUGUCUUUACAGGCAAAUCCGCAGAGUGGAACGCGUGCCCUCACGGCGGUGAAAAUAAUGGAUAAAAGAUUCUUGUAGAGGGAAUGGAAGAACAAGGGAGGGUAACAAGGGUUGGCGGAGUGAUUUGCAAGAUCAUUCAUUGAUCCGGUGCAUUUGACUUCAGCCGGAACUAGCAGUCUUCCAGGGUAUGAGACCAUAUGCACACAAGCUCACACACUUAGGUGCAACGAAACACACUCAUCUUAACACGUUACUCGUUGCUAAGUAGAUGUUUCAGUCGCCUGUGCAUGCCCUCCCUCGCUACCCUGCUUUGACGUCACCCAUCAGUUAGUCACACACACACACACUCCACAUCACCCAUCAGUUCACCCGACAGACACCUAAAUGUACAUCUUCACACUCAUGUAGAGCCCAACAUUUUUACAUCACACAUCAGAUUACCCCAGAUUCACACACACACACACACACACACACACACACACACACACACACACACACACACACACACACACACACACACACUCACACACUCACAAAUCAUCACACAUCAGUUAUGUCUUUGGAGUGGGAGGGGUUGACAGGGGAGAGGAAGAAGUACACAGGAAGUACAUUAGUUAUCACUCCCCUGUCUUCUCCACCUUUUCACUUCUUAUCACCACCUGACGUCUCAGACCCUGGCCGAGCCACUUCUCCUUCCCAUCCCACCCCUUUCCUUUUCUCUUUCUGUCUCUCUCUUGCUCACACACACACGCCUUUAAAAAUGACUUCCGUGCUCCACUUUAAUGUCGGGCCCUUGGAUCUAGAUGACACUUGGCAAGCCGCAGGAGCCGCAAGACAACUGGAUGAAAUAUUUAAAUGAAAUAUGGCAGGGGUAUAAGAGGUGAAGAAAGGAAGGGGAAUAAACGAUGGAGAGAAAAGAAUACAAGACAUAGGAAGAGGGAAGAGAGAGUGACAAUAUUCAGAUGGUGAGCAGAAUGUGAGGAAUUUCUUUUCUUGGCUAAGAGAGGGCCGGUUGACAAGAGGUGCAGAUGAAUUGGCUUUCACCUAAAUGUAGCCUGGAGAGAUAUAUACCAAUAUAGAAUGAGAUCACAUCACUUCGUCUUGGAAUAAUCAGCAAGUCUCAGGAUGUGUCAAAGCGGUGUCAGCACUGUGCCAGCUCAGCUGCUUAAAUGAAAUGAAACAGGGAUUUUGUGACUUUAGAAUGUAGUUCUGUCUUGCUUUUUUAUCAAUAAGCCUAGAAGUCUAUACAGAGCCAUACUGUGAGACGACACUAAAUGCUAACAUGGCUAUAUGCUCAAUGACAGCGCUGAUGUUUAGCAGGCAUUAGCUUACUGUGUUAAUACAAAAGAUUCACCAGCAUGAAUGGAAUCAUUGUGUGAUUGUUUGAAAGCACAAUGUCUCAACUUGUAAAACAUUUUAUUAUACCAAAACCACAACAACAAUAGAGGACGCAGCAGUAAUAGUUCCCCCCUUGUAAAGAGUGCGUACACACCAAAAGAGUCAUUCUUUUUUGGUUGUCUUUUUUUUUUUUUUUACCUCAAGAGUACAAAGACCAAAAUGCAUUUUUUCUUUUCUUUUUUUUGUAUUUCUUUGUAAGAAAAUGGGGUGAAUGUUAAGGAGCUGAAUGUGUUUGUUUGCACUGAACAGAGAUUACAGCCUAGGCUCAAAUGAAUGGAAUUAGUUUUGCAGAUACCCUGUCAAAGCAAAGCUAAAAACUGGGCCUAAAGAGGGAGUCAAGCAAUCAGCAGUUAUUACAAUUAACUCUGCUGGGAACAUGAAUGUUUGCAACAAAUUGUAUGGUCCAAUCCAGCCAUUAGCUUAGUUAGCCAUCAAUAGCACUCAUGGAGCAGUCAGGAAAUGAUGAAAACCUGUAGAAGUUAUUGUUAAAGAGCCAUGUAGGUACCAAUCCUUGCAGAUAGCUGUUUGGAUAUUUAAUUUGACAAAUUAAACACUCUUCCAAGAUGGUGAUGGAAAUUAAAGGGGAUCAUUAUAAUUUUGCUCAACCUCAAUGGAUCUCAAUAUCUUGCAAUGUUGUUGUUACAUCUUUCUUCUUUGUAAAGCAUUUAACAAAUUAGUUAAGAAAAUACUAUACAAAAUAACAUUAUUAUUCAAUAGUCCAGACAUUUCACUAAAAGCCAUUUAACCUCAUGAUGGUGUUAAGUGAACAGCAAAAUUAACAGGACACAUCCUCUGGAGACCAUCAAUGUCUGCACAGAAAUUUGCAACACACCAUUCGUUAGUUGUUUAGAUAAUUCAGUCUGGACCAAAGUGAUGUUUCGAGUGAUACUAUUCUGACAAGUCAUUAACAUUUUGUGUAUGAUCACAGUUCAACUUAGAUUUACGGCAUUAUUAUUCAACCUGUUUAACAUACUAAACACUACUCACAAAAAUUCUGAAACCUCAAAAUGUUAUCAAAUCAAAUCAAGCUUGAUUGUCAUUUAGCUGUACAUACUACAGUAGUGUGGACAAGAUGAGACAGCGUUUCUUCUGGAUCCAGUUUAAAGCAAUUAAACGAACUUUACAACAGAGGAAAGAAAAAAGGACAAUCGAAAGAACACCCACACCUAUGCAAUCACACAACCACCCACCCUCCUGCCCACACACAUACACACAUCCCUAAGUUUUACAAAUUGGCAGUUGAAUUAUUAUUAAGUGUCCAUAGCAGCAGCCAGUGAUGUAAAGUCCACAACAGUUAAAGUGACCUUGUGGAAUGAUAAACAAUUUAAAUACUGAAACUGAAAAUACUAAAAUUACAUGAAGGUGCAGAAGUGUAUGCAUAUCUGGAUUAGAAGUUUAGCAUUCUGACAGCUUGCGGAUGAAGCUGUUGUUAUUGAACACAUUAUGAAGGACACCAAUAUAAAUGUCAACUUAUCAGACAGUCUUUUUUUUGCCCCUUUAAACUUGAAAAAAAAAAGGCUGAUCUUUGCCACUAGCUUAUAUGAUGUAUAGCUACCCAGCCCGAGCUAAGGUUUGUUAGCAAGAAUUAAUGUUUUUAUUUGCAACUCAAGUAGGUCUGCCCAGUAUAUAAUUUCAGCAUCAACAAUAUGAUUUGUGCAUUAGUCACAUUGUGGGACAUGUGAUGUGAAGUAAGUAAAUUAACUGAGAUUCCAUGCUACAGCUUUUUGCUGCUUGGUGAUGAAAGACAUCCGCAAAGUUCUCAUUGUUACAUCUCUAAUCUACAAGAGAAGUAUGUCUGAUAAAACCUCAUUUAGUCUGUGGUUAUAGCGUAUCGAAGAGAUUUUUAAAACUUUAUUUAAACAACAGAGAAUUUGUUAGAGUUCUACAUGUGGAAAAUUGAGCAAGGCAAGGAAAAAGAAAACCUUGGUUUCAAAAAGAAACACAAUGUCAUUUGUGUGAAAACAUCCCCAUGAGCAAGAGGCAACACAACUGAUUUGCUUCAUCAUUUAAAUAAAUGCCAAAAAAUCUGCAUAAGUAGUGCAAAGACAGAUCUGGAUUCCAUCCAAAGCAGAAAAAAACAUUUUGUAUAUCUUUGCCAGGUAGGUUACACCAUUGGAGAAGCUGCUUUUUUGUUUGUCUUUUUUUUUUUUUUUUUUUUUUGAGAUUUCUCAGUGAUUGACUUUUACUUUCAAGGCAACAAAAUCACUUCAAUCAUUUUAGAAUGACCAGUUCUUUCUAAAUUGAAGUUAUUCAAGUCAUCUGGUGAAAAUACCUGCAUUUUUUUCACACCACAAUAAAUAUUGCAACAAACAAGGCAUUGCAAUGUCUUUUUCUUUCAGUACCAUGUAGCCAUAAACUCAAGGUCUUCCAGAGUUGAGGUUUAGCUUUUAUUAUGUAUGAUUCUGAAUUAUAAUAAAAUUUUGACCUAGCUAAUUGCUGACUAUGAGUGCACUUAUCAGAGUGUGUGUCUGCCUGUAAAAGUGUGGAUUCCUAGUGAUUACAGCAACUACAAGCUACCCUAGCUUGUCCAGAGUGGGAAGUAGCAAUUAUGAGAGCAGAGAGGGGACCAAAGGAACACCAAAAAUAAAUUAGUAGAGGAUUUUUUUUCGCAUUUUAUUCUUUUGUUAUAUAUUUAUUAAGUAAUUUCAGCUCCAUUCAUGCAAAAAUAUCUUCUAACUCUUACGGUAAAGUAAAGAAGACAAAAAGCUGCCUUUUUUCAUUUUAUUUUUUUACUAUCUAAGACCCCUGAGAUCUAAACAUCUUUAGGAUCACUGGGAUCAUAGCCGAGCCUUGUAAUUACGUGUUCUAUACCUUGAAAGCACAAAGUGUAUAUGUGAGUUUUAUUUAGCCUAUUUAAUUGUCCACCCAUGUCAAAUUAGUGAUAUUUAUCGUUUUAGCUUGCUGAUCCUGCAAAUGCCUAUUUAAAGUGUGUGCAUGUUUACCACUAUGUGUGUGUGUGUGUGUGUGUGUGUGUGUGUGUGUGUGUGUGUGUGUGUGUGUGUGUGUGUGUGUGUGUAUUCUGCAUGUACAUAAUGUAUAUUGUUAAACAUGUGUGCAUGGGUUUGUAUUUGUCCUGCUUUUCGCAAAGCUGGACAUCAGGGCUACCUGCCAGGUAGUGUGUGGUGUCUAUUAGCUUAUGCAGUAAGUAAAAAGAAGUGAACCCAAUAUUACUGUGUCCUGUAGUGUUUCAGUAGUUGAAAAAAGUCAAUAAAAAUAAAGAUUUGAUGCUAAAAA